UUUUUUUUUUUUAAAGAUUUAUUUUAUAUAUGUGAGUACACUGUCACUGUCUUCAGAACACACCAGAAGAGAGCGUCGGAUCCCAUUACAGAUGGUUGUGAGCCACCAUGUGGUUGCUGGGAAUUGAAUUCAGGAUCUCUGGAAGAGCAGUCAGUCAGUCCUCUUAACCACUGAGCCAUCCGGUCCAGCUGGUAAUAUAUAAUUUUAACUGUGUCUCUUGUAUUUUUUUUUUAAUUAGGUAUUUUCCUCAUUUACAUUUUCAAUGCUAUCCCAAAGGUCCCCCAUACCCACCCCCCCCACUCCCCUACCCACCCACUCCCCCUUUUUGGCCCUGGCGUUCCCCUGUACUGGGGCAUAUAAAGUUUGCAAGUCCAAUGGGCCUCUCUUUGCAGUGAUGGCUUACUAGGCCAUCUUUUGGUGUCUCUUGUAUUAAAGAAAAUAAACUUGGGACUGGAUAGAUGAUUGCAUGGUUAAGAGCACUUUUGUUUGCAGGUGAUCCAGGCUUGGUUCCCAGCACCUAUAUGGCAGCUCACUGCUGUCUGUAACCCCACUUCUAGGGAUCUGAUGUUCUUGUCCUCCAAGGCACACAUGUGAUGCGCAUAUAUAUACACACAUGUAGGCAAACAGUUAUUACACAUAAAAUAAAAAUGAACAAAUACAUAGUGAACUCAAAGUGUUGGACUGUCUGCAAGAUGAAGAAAAAGAAAAUGCAGGAAGUUAACCUCUUUGGAUUUAAUUGGAUUGUAGUUUGUUCUGGACCAGGCAAAUUCAGGUCACUCCAGUUUUUAUAGCAUUGAAGAUUUACUCAUGCAUUUAUUUACUCAUUUUUGUGACAUAAUGAAUUUUUUGUCAUUGUCACUUGUUUUAGAAAUCAAAGGCCUUUGUUUAGGCCAGAGAUUGAUGGAGGUGAAUAUCAUGCUAUUACUUUUUAGAUCUCUCCUUUCCCCUCCUCUGUUUUAUUAUUCAUUUUUAAUUAUAUCUUUUAAUCUAUUUUAGUUGUAUUUUCAUAUUUUUAUUGGUCCUGGAAAUGGUACUGUUCUUAUGCAUUUAGUUACCCCCAUCUUUUUUUUUUUUUUAACUAUUUAAAAAUACAUUUAUGCUGGGUGGUGGUGGUGCAUGCCUUUAAUUCCAGCACUUUGGAGGCAGAGACAAGUGGAUCUCUGUGAGUUUGAAGCCAGCCUGGUUUAUGAAGGGAGCUAAGGCUACACAGAGAAAAUCAAACAUUUGUUUGUUUAUUGCGAGUGUGUAUGUUCCAUGGCAGGUCUGGGAAGUGAAGGGCAGCUUUCAGGAGUCGUUUGAGCACCUGGUUGGCAGCCUUGAUGCAGGGGUUUUUAUCUACUAAGUCAUCUUACCAUCUCUGUUACUAACUUGAGAUGGUCUAUGUUGUCCAGGCUGACUGCCUAGAACUGAGCUCAGUCGAUUCUUAUGUCACAGCUACUUAGCUGAAAGUACAGGUGGGCACUGUAGCGCCUGGCUUCAUCUGUUCUUUUGUUCACACAUAUUUUAUUAGACCAUGGUGUAAAAGCAAGUAAUAAAGGCUGAUCAGAAGUGCUCUGAACAGACUUAUUUAAAGAUCAGAGACGUGUAUAUUUUCAGUUAUUUAGUUGUUGUAGCUAGUAUGAAGUACUUUUUAUGUUAAAUGCUAUAAAGGCAAAAAUAAGAGCUUUUAGUUUAAAUUUUUUUUUUUUUAGUUUUAAAUGAAUUAUAGAUACAAGUAACUCCGUAGUCAGAGUAAUUGAUAUUUUGUUCUUGUAUUUGAGGAUACAAAAAGUAAUUUUAAUGGUUAAGAGGGGGUUUCUUUCUCUAUCAGGCCUCCUUAGGAAUGUUGAAAAACUAUGAAAACCACUGCAGCAUAGCAGCAGCUACGUGGAUCACCUGGUUUUAUUUUGGUAUUUUUGUGGUCUUGUUUAUUUUUUUCCUUGAACAUUUACCAUAUUUCUGAGCCAUUUUUGCUACCCCAGGAACUCCUGUGGUCAGAAAGUUACUUGGAUAACAUUCAUCUCAACACUUGGGAGGCAGAGGCAGGUGGAUUUCUGAGUUCGAGGCCAGCCUGGUCUACAGAGUGAGUUCCAGGACAGCCAGGGCUAUAUAGAGAAACCCUGUCUCGAAAAACAAAAACCAACCAACCAACCAACCAAACAAACAAAAAACC
rnacentral:lncRNA from 1 species